CAGCAGCCGCGGUAAUACGAAGGGGGCUAGCGUUGCUCGGAAUUACUGGGCGUAAAGGGAGCGUAGGCGGACAUUUAAGUCAGGGGUGAGAUCCCAGAGCUCAACUCUGGAACUGCCUUUGAUACUGGGUGUCUUGAGUGUGAUAGAGGUAUGUGGAACUCCGAGUGUAGAGGUGAAAUUCGUAGAUAUUCGGAAGAACACCAGUGGCGAAGGCGACAUACUGGAUCAUUACUGACGCUGAGGCUCGAAAGCGUGGGGAGCAAACAGGAUUAGAUACCCUGGUAGUCCACGCCGUAAACGAUGAUUGCUAGUUGUCGGGUUGUUUACAACUCGGUGACGCAGCUAACGCAUUAAGCAAUCCGCCUGGGGAGUACGGUCGCAAGAUUAAAACUCAAAGGAAUUGACGG
rnacentral:rRNA from 1 species